GCCCGCCUGGCGGAACAGGUAGACGCGCGGCGCUCAGGACGCCGUGUCCUUCGGGACAUCCCGGUUCGACUCCGGGGGCGGGCA
rnacentral:tRNA from 2 species